GUGGUGAAUUUGUCGUCGAAAGCCAUGGAGUGUGGGAGGUUAUACUGCGAAUAAAACAUACAUAUAUACACGGAGCUACAUUGGUGUUUUAAGGCGGGUUGCCCCAUCG